rnacentral:misc_RNA from 1 species
UCUCCGUAGGUGAACCUGCGGAAGGAUCAUUGUCGAAACCUGCCCAGCAGAACGACCCGCGAACUUGUAUAAACAACCGGGGGCGGGGGGCGUUCUCGCCCCGUGCCCCCGAACGGCGGGGAGACACUCGUGCCUUCUUGCCGAACAACGAACCCCGGCGCGGUCUGCGCCAAGGAACUUCAACUAAAGAGUGCCUCCGGUCGCCUCGGAAAGGCCGUGCGUGCCGGGGGCGAAUCUUGUGCAAAACCAUAACGACUCUCGGCAACGGAUAUCUCGGCUCUC